rnacentral:rRNA from 1 species
UACCUGCGGAAGGAUCAUUAUUGGAAUUGAAACCCUUUGCAGGAGGCUGUUGCUGUGCCCCUUGGGUAUGUGCACGUCUCUUGUGUGUUUCU